UCAGCUCGUGCCGUGAGGUGUUGGUUAAGUCCCGGCAACGAGCGCAACCCCUACUGCCAGUUACUAACAGGUAACGCUGAGGACUCUGGCGGAACUGCCGGUGACAACCGGAGGAAGGUGGGGAUGACGUCAAGUCAUCAUGGCCCCUAUGUCCAGGGCUACACACGUGCUACAAUGGGCGAUACAGAGUGACGCGAAGCCGCGAGGUGGAGCAAAUCGCAGAAAAUCGCUCUCAGUUCGGAUUGGAGUCUGAAACCCGACUCCAUGAAGGUGGAAUCGCUAGUAAUCGCGCAUCAGCAUGGCGCGGUGAAUACGUUCCCGGGCCUU
rnacentral:rRNA from 1 species